AAGGGCGCAUGGCGGAUGCCUUGGCUCUCGGAGGCGAUGAAGGACGUGAUAAGCUGCGAUAAGCUCUGGGUAGGUGCAAAUAACCUUUGAUCCAGAGAUUUCCGAAUGGGACAACCCGGCAUUCUGAAGGAAUGUCAUCCAUCUUUGAUGGAAGCUAACGCAGGGAACUGAAACAUCUUAGUACCUGUAGGAAAAGAAAAUAAUAAUGAUUCCCCUAGUAGUGGCGAGCGAACGGGGAAUAGCCCAAACCACCCAUGUUACGGCAUGUGUGGGGUUGUAGGACCACGAUGUCGCAAGACAUUUGAUGAGUAGAAUCCUCUGGAAAGUUGAACCAUAGACGGUGAUAGUCCGGUAUACGAAGUCAAAUUAAGCGUAGUGGUAUCCUGAGUAGCGCGGGACACGAGAAAUCUUGCGUGAAUCUGCCGGGACCAUCCGGUAAGGCUAAAUACUCCCGAGAGACCGAUAGCGAACCAGUACUGUGAAGGAAAGGUGAAAAGCACUUCGAAUAGAAGAGUGAAAUAGUCCCUGAAACCGUGCGCCUACAAGCGGUCGGAGCUGCUUAAGCAGUGACGGCGUGCCUUUUGCAUAAUGAACCUACGAGUUACUUUUUCCGGCAAGGUUAAGCAUCUUGAGAUGUGCAGCCGAAGCGAAAGCGAGUCUGAACAGGGCGUCGAGUCGGAAGGAGUAGACGCGAAACCAAGUGAUCUACCCUUGGUCAGGUUGAAGGUUAGGUAACACUAACUGGAGGACCGAACCGAUAAGCGUUGAAAAGCUUCCGGAUGAACUGAGGGUGGGGGUGAAAGGCUAAUCAAACUUGGAGAUAGCUCGUACUCCCCGAAAUGCAUUUAGGUGCAGCCUUGUGAGUUACUAAUGUGAGGUAGAGCGACUGAUAAGAUGCGAGGGCUUCACCGCCUAUCAAGUCUUGAUAAACUCCGAAUGCGCAUUAGUUCUAUCACAGGAGUGAGGGCAUGGGUGCUAAGGUCCAUGUCCUAAAGGAGAAGAAUCCAGACCAUCAGCUAAGGUCCCCAAAUAAACACUAAGUUGAACUAACGAAGUCAGAUUGCUAAGACAGCUAGGAUGUUGGCUUGGAAGCAGCCAUUCAUUUAAAGAGUGCGUAACAGCUCACUAGUCGAGGAGUUUGGCGUGGAUAAUAAUCGGGCAUUAAGUGUUUUACCGAAGCUAUGGGAUCAGUAAUGAUCGGUAGGGGAGCAUUCCACUCUGCGUCGAAGGUGAAGCGUGAGCUUUGCUGGAGCGUGUGGAAAAGCAAAUGUAGGUAUAAGUAACGAUAAAGGGGGUGAGAAACCCCCUCGCCGAAAGACUAAGGUUUCCUGAUCAACGCUAAUCGGAUCAGGGUUAGUCGGGUCCUAAGGCUCAGCCGAACGGUGAGGCCGAUGGCAGAACAGGUUAAUAUUCCUGUACUACCUUAAGGAGUGACGUGGAGACGGAGCAGUGACAGCGCCGCGGACUGACGGAAUAGUCCGUUGAAGGGUGUAGAUGUUGAUCAUCCCAGGCAAAUCCGGGAUGAGAGUCGAACCUGAUAGUAUGGAGCGUUCUUCGGAACAAUCCAAUAGUGCGUGUAAGCAUACUCCCAAGAAAAUCCGCUAAACUUAAUCCUUAAGGUACCCGUACCGCAAACGGACACACGUAGUCGGGUUGAAUAUACUAAGGCGCUUGAGUGAUUCACGGUUAAGGAACUAGGCAAAUUGACCCUGUAACUUCGGGAUAAAGGGUCCCAACGAGAGUUGGGCGCAGAGAAUAGGUCCAGGCAACUGUUUAACAAAAACACAGGGCUGUGCCAAAUUGAAAGAUUACGUAUACAGCCUGACACCUGCCCGGUGCUGGAAGGUUAAGAGGAGAUGUCAUCGCAAGAGAAGCAUUGAAUUGAAGCCCCAGUAAACGGCGGCCGUAACUAUAACGGUCCUAAGGUAGCGAAAUUCCUUGUCGGGUAAGUUCCGACCUGCACGAAUGGUGUAAUGAUCUGGACACUGUCUCAACCGUGAGCUCAGUGAAAUUGUAGUAUCGGUGAAGAUGCCGAUUACCCGCGAUGGGACGAAAAGACCCCGUGAACCUUUACUAUAGCUUAACAUUGAAUUUGGGUAAUUGAUGUGUAGGAUAGGCCGGAGACUUCGAAGCAGGUACGCCAGUAUUUGUGGAGUCGCUGUUGAAAUACGGCCCUUUGAUUAUUUGAGUUCUAACUCGUGGUACGAGGACACUGUUUGGUGGGUAGUUUGACUGGGGUGGUCGCCUCCAAAAUAGUAACGGAGGCUUCUAAAGGUGCCCUCAGGACGAUUGGUAACCGUCCGCAGAGUGUAAUGGCAUAAGGGCGCUUGACUGGGAGACUUACAAGUCGAUCAGGUAGGAAACUAGAGCAUAGUGAUCCGGUGUUUCCGUAUGGAAGGGACAUCGCUCAAAGGAUAAAAGGUACUCCGGGGAUAACAGGCUGAUCCCUCCCAAGAGCUCAUAUCGACGGAGGGGUUUGGCACCUCGAUGUCGGCUCGUCACAUCCUGGGGCUGGAGAAGGUCCCAAGGGUUGGGCUGUUCGCCCAUUAAAGUGGCACGCGAGCUGGGUUCAGAACGUCGUGAGACAGUUCGGUCUCUAUCUAUCGUGGGCGUAUGAAAUUUGCGUGGCUCUGACACUAGUACGAGAGGACCG
rnacentral:rRNA from 1 species